rnacentral:rRNA from 1 species
AGUGAACGCUGGCGGUAGGCCUAACGCAUGCAAGUCGAACGACCGCACAGUAAGCGCUUGCUCUUACGGGUGGCGAGUGGCGGACGGGUGAGGAAUACAUAGGAAUCUACUUUUUCGUGGGGGAUUACGUAGGGCCACUUACGCUACUACCGCAUAUGACCUACGGGUUAAAGCAGGGGAUCUUCGGACCUUGCGCGUUUCUAUGAGACGAUGCCGGAUUAGCUAGUUGGCGGGGUAAAGGCACACCAAGGCGACGAUACGUAGCCGGUCUGAGAGGAUGAUCAGCCACACUGGAACUGAGACACGGUCCAGACUCCUACGGGAGGCAGCAGUGGGGAAUAUUGGACAAUGGGCGCAAGCCUGAUCCAGCCAUACCGCGUGAGUGAAGAAGGCCUUCGGGUUGUAAAGCCCUUUUGUUAGGAAAGAAAAGCAGCAGGUUAAUACCCCGCUGUUCUGACGGUACCCAAAGAAUAAGCACCGGCUAACUUCGUG